AGUGAACGCUGGCGGUAGGCCUAACACAUGCAAGUCGAACGGCAGCACAGGAAGAGCUUGCUCUUACGGGUGGCGAGUGGCGGACGGGUGAGGAAGACAUCGGAAUCUACUUUUUCGGGGGGGAUAAUGUAGGGAAACUUACUCUAAUACCGCAUACGUCCUACGGGUGAAAGCAGGGGAUCUUCGGACCUUGCGGGAUGGUAUGAGCCGAUGUCGGAUUAGCUAGUUGGCGGGGUAAAGGCCAACCAAGGCGACGAUCCGUAGCUGGUCCGAGAGGAUCAUCAGCCACACUGUAUCUGAGACACGUCCCAGACUCCUACGGUAGGCAGCAGUGGGGAAUAUUGCACGAUGGGCGAGAGCCUGAUCCAGCCCUACCGCGUGGGUCAAGAACGACUUCGGGUUCGAGAGCCCUUUUGUUGGGAAAGAAAAGAAGCAGGUUAACACCCCGCUGUUAUGACGGUACCCAAAGAAUAAGCACCGGCUAACUUCGUG
rnacentral:rRNA from 1 species